UCCCUAGUGGCUCAGAUGGUAAAGAAUCUGCCUGUAAUGCAGGAGACCUGGGUUCAAUUCCUGGGUCAGGAA
rnacentral:tRNA from 1 species